GAUGAACGCUGGCGGCGUGCCUAAUACAUGCCAGUCGAGCGAACAGACGAGGAGCUUGCUCCUCUGACGUUAGCGGCGGACGGGUGAGUAACACGUGGAUAACCUACCUAUAAGACUGGGAUAACUUCGGGAAACCGGAGCUAAUACCGGAUAAUAUAUUGAACCGCUUGGUUCAAUAGUGAAAGACGGUUUUGCUGUCACUUAUAGAUGGAUCCGCGCCGCAUUAGCUAGUUGGUAAGGUAACGGCUUACCAAGGCAACGAUGCGUAGCCGACCUGAGAGGGUGAUCGGCCACACUGGAACUGAGACACGGUCCAGACUCCUACGGGAGGCAGCAGUAGGGAAUCUUCCGCAAUGGGCGAAAGCUUGACGGAGCAACGCCGCGUGAGUGAUGAAGGUCUUCGGAUCGUAAAACUCUGUUAUUAGGGAAGAACAAAUGUGUAAGUAACUAUGCACGUCUUGACGGUACCUAAUCAGAAAGCCACGGCUAACUACGUG
rnacentral:rRNA from 1 species